UGCAAGUCGAGCGAUGAAGUUUCCUUCGGGAAACGGAUUAGCGGCGGACGGGUGAGUAACACGUGGGUAACCUGCCUCAUAGAGGGGAAUAGCCUCCCGAAAGGGAGAUUAAUACCGCAUAACAUUGCAGUUUCGCAUGAAACAGCAAUUAAAGGAGCAAUCCGCUAUGAGAUGGACCCGCGGCGCAUUAGCUAGUUGGUAAGGUAAUGGCUUACCAAGGCGACGAUGCGUAGCCGACCUGAGAGGGUGAUCGGCCACAUUGGGACUGAGACACGGUCCAUACUCCUUCGGGAGGCAGUAGUGGGGAAUAUUGUACAAUGGGGGAAACCCUCGAUG
rnacentral:rRNA from 1 species